AUUGAACGCUGGCGGAAUGCUUUACACAUGCAAGUCGAGCGGCAGCGCGGGGCAACCUGGCGGCGAGCGGCGAACGGGUGAGUAAUGUAUCGGAACGUAUCCUUAAGUGGGGGACAACUAGUCGAAAGACUAGCUAAUACCGCAUACGAUCGAGAGAUGAAAGUGGGGGACCGCAAGGCCUCACGCUUUUGGAGCGGCCGAUAUCCGAUUAGCUUGUUGGUGAGGUAAAGGCUUACCAAGGCUAUGAUCGGUAGCUGGUCUGAGAGGAUGAUCAGCCACACUGGGACUGAGACACGGCCCAGACUCCUACGGGAGGCGGCAGUGGGGAAUCUUGCGCAAUGGGGGCAACCCUGACGCAGCCAUGCCGCGUGAACGAUGAAGGCCUUAGGGUUGUAAAGUUCUUUUACCCGUGACGAUGAUGACGGUAACGGGGGAUAAGCUCCGGCUAACUUCGUGCCAGCAGCCGCGGUAAU
rnacentral:rRNA from 1 species